UCCAUUUGCUCCUGCUGUUCUUUCACAUCUUUGAUAAUUUGUUGUUUCUUAUCUGCUUAUGGGUGGAUUAUGCCAAGAGUCAUGAAAGCAAAACAAUAACAAAAACAAACCAAAAAAAAAAAAAAAAAAGGUCUUUGAUGUUCAGAAGGAUGUCCUUAAACUCACCAAUAUUGCUUAGGCAGAAUAUUGAAAAUGCACUUUGUCUGUUCAUUUGUCUGUUUGAACUGUUUGGAAAAAUCACCCUCCUUGUUCACUUUUCUUAUGUUUUAUAUAGACACAGCCGAAAACCACCACCAAUCCUUUCUAAAACCUGACCUUUUUAAAAAAUCCUGAAUAUAUUCUGUUUUCUGUGACUGCUACCUAGACUGUUUUAGCGUGUCUUUUAGUAAUUUGUUUUCGUGUGGAGCCUAGAAUACAGCCUUCUAUAGUACACAUGUACUACAUGGCCCUUUUUUGAUAACCCAAAUGAAGUCACAAAGAACCCAAGUUCUAAGCAAAAGUUUUGCUGAAAGUCAACCCAAUGAUUGAUCACAUCUUCAAGGAAGAUGAUGGAAAAUUAAUUGCAACAUGUAUCCUGGUGUCUGACUGAUUCUUCAUCGAACAACACAAAAUCCAUGCAGACUGAACAGUGAGAGAACUAGCAUUGAUUGGAAGAAACUUUACUGACUUUUAUGGCAGAUUGAAUUUUGUCCUCCCAAACACCUGGCAAAGAAAGAUCACCUUCGAUGGAUGGACAGUACUACUUUCAUAUUGGAAUACAUAUGGAAUGUACAACUUCAACUCAUUUUGUAAAAUUACAUUAAAU